AUGUUGACUAAAGUCAACUCAGUUGAGUUUUUAAAGCUCUAAUUCACAUUUGGGCCUUUACUGCAGGUGUCUUACAUUUGUUUUCACUAUAUUUAACUUGUGCAAAAGAUGAAAAGAACCAACGCUAGAAGUAGUCGAAGGAAGCCAAUAAAAGUAUUAAUACAAUGUCAUUUCCGUGUAUGACGGUCAAGAUGUUCAUUUUACUUUUGCAUCUCCAGAUGAACUCAACUGAUGAUGUUGUUAAGAACUCAACAUAUGAUGCAUCCUCGGGUUGCUUUAAUGUGCCUACCCGGACAACUUCUGUGUUUGUUGAGCCUCGGUAAAAUUUGGUUUAUUGAACCUGGUCCAUUCUAAAAAAUGGCCACCGGAGGAUCAAGAAAUAAGUAAUAGGCUUAUGGUUGGACAUAUAUAGACAAUUUUGGAUCCGGGAGCAAUGGAAGGGAGAAAGGUUCAGUUAGAAGAGAAUAUACCACAAAAAUUAUCCAUUUUUCUGCUUAUUUACCAGGGAAUUAAGUAACCAGAAAGAAGCUUUGUCUUUUAAGUUGAUAAUCAAAGAGAAUUGCUAUGUCAAAUAUUUGUGUAAUACUAGUGUCUUAAAUUCAAUAUUUGUUUUUCUAGUUAUUUAAGUACCUUCUUUUUGUAUCAAAUUUUAAUAAAUUCCACGAUUUUUGCGCUGU